CGCGUAGGCGGUUUGGCAAGUCUGGUGUGAAAUCUCACAGCUCAACUGUGAAACUGCAUCGGAAACUGCUUUACUAGAGUGCGGGAGAGGAGAGUGGAAUUCCCAGUGUAGAGGUGAAAUUCGUAGAUAUUGGGAGGAACACCGGUGGCGAAGGCGGCUCUCUGGACCGCAACUGACGCUGAGGCGCGAAAGCUAGGGGAGCGAACG
rnacentral:rRNA from 1 species